AGCUGGGCGCCGUGGCAGUAUCGCAGCCAAUGAGGUUUAUCCGAGGCGCGAUUAUUGCUAAUUGGAAUCUCCCUGCUGGAUGGGCCUCACUCCAGUCUCCGCCCUGCAAAGCUGCAAACCUCAGACAUGGCCAGCCA